UUAAUGAUAAAAAAUUAGAAAACAUAUUAAGAUCAGAUGAUCUUCUGUCAUCACCUUGUACACACUUGCUCAACGAUCCAUUCAUAAAUACCAACCAACCAUCGCAGCAAAUCAUUAAUUUACAACAGCCGCAGUAUCAACACCAUCAGUACAUAUCUCUCCCAUACCUCUAUCCACAACAACCUCGCGAUAAAUUUCAAGAUCAAUUCUAAAUUCUGAGACUGUUUACAUUCUGUAUACAUUACUGGGAGGCAAUCUCGGAGGCCUUGAGAUUUUUUUAAAAAAACAUCUUUAAUGAAAAGAGGAGGAGUCAUCGUCAAUCUCGCUCAUGAUAAAUCUUUCUAUUCCGAUUUCUUAAUCAUGGCUAUCUCAAUUUACCAAGUCAUGUAAAUCAAUGGAUUGAACAGACUUGCUUGGCAUUUUAAUUUUUGAGGUUGAGUCGUGUCUGGCUUUGGAAUUUUUCACACUUUCACAUACAGGACAUUUCAGUCUCUGCUGGGAAAACAACCCAACUAGCCUCACUUUCAGUCACUGUAUCAAGAAAAAGACUUUUGCUAGUAAAUCUAUGAUAUAAAGUUUUAUGAUUGAAGAGAUAAUAAGUGUGACCAUCAUACUCCUACGCCUGUAACUACUAUACCAAGAUUUGAUUACCAGCAUCUAAAACGAUAUUACAGUACAGAGAGAUAUCUAUGACACACUUACAAGCAGUAGGUAAUUGACACAGAACUGCUGAUAACAAAACUAUAUAAACGCACCAUAAUGACUCAGCAAGCAAUGUGCUUUGACACCUUCAUCAGAAUAUGUCAGUGUCCAAGUUUGCCAAAUUUAAAGGUUCCGGAGCUGCCUGAAUUACCAUCAUUAUCUACAACAAUAACUAAUGUUCUCCCAGAAAUAAAACCUAAUAUAGAAGAAGCAGACACUUAUCAGGAUGAUGAUGGUACAGCAAAUGUGAAAAUAAUAAUAGUAUGCGUCAUAGCAGCUAUUUUUGGGAUCAUCUCUAUGGUUAUCGUAGUUGGGUUAAUUUACACAAAGUGUAUUAAGAAAAGUGACGAUCAUACGAUACCACAACCCAACAACUCACCUAACGAAACAUAGGGAGUGCCGUCAAAGGAUAUUAAAGAAUUUAUUUAAAAAGGUUGAAACUUGGGCUUCGGUAUUCCUAAAUUGUUAAAUUUAUUUAACGAUGAAACUAGAAAGAAAGGGGCCUACAAGAGCAAGAAUUAAUGAUGAUCAUCAUGAGGAAUUGAUUAUCGCAAAGUAGGUCAGAGAUCAGUGCUGGAUGCGAAGGGUAGGAGUGGCUUAAUGAAGUGGUGAGCAGUUGGUGCUACAAACAUAAACAAAAACACCGCCUACCGGUAAACUUACUGUAGGGAGUGGCAGCAAAGGAAGUCAUAACCGCAAGUAAAGUUCAGAGGGAGGAAGACAUGAUAUUUGAACGGACAUGUCAGCCUUAUUUUUCAACAACCUAUUUGAAAGUAACCAAGAUUAUGGAUUUGACGGUACCAACGAUUAUGGACUAAUACAGCGUUUAUUGGGCAAUAUUUAUAAAAAAAAAAACCCCAUUAAUUUACUACUGCGCAUAAAAGAAAUAUUGUACAAUUUUUAAGAAAGGCUCAGUCAGAGGGAGGAAGACAAAAUAUUAGAUAGGAUAUGUCAGAAUUAUUUUUCAACAAUCUACUUCAAUUUAAUUCAGUUUACUACCAUGCAUAAAAGCAAUAUUGUACAAUUUUUAAGCAGAGUGUUUUUAAUAAUUCAUUUUAUUCCAUUUAAUUAUUUUAACAUCAAAAUAAUAAAAAUAAUAAUAAAAAAAUGAAAUCAAGUUUUUUAAAUAAAAAUCACAAUGGCUUAUAAAU
rnacentral:misc_RNA from 1 species